GCUACACAUGCAGUCGACGAUGAAGCUGGAGCUUGCUCUGGUGGAUUAGUGGCGAACGGGUGAGUAACACGUGAGUAACCUGCCCUUGACUCUGGAAUAAGCGUUGGAAACGACGUCUAAUACCGGAUACGAGCUUCCGCCGCAUGGUGAGGAGCUGGAAAGAAUUUCGGUCAAGGAUGGACUCGCGGCCUAUCAGGUAGUUGGUGAGGUAAUGGCUCACCAAGCCUACGACGGGUAGCCGGCCUGAGAGGGUGACCGGCCACACUGGAACUGAGACACGGUCCAGACUCCUACGGGAGGCAGCAGUGGGGAAUAUUGCACAAUGGGCGCAAGCCUGAUGCAGCAACGCCGCGUGAGGGACGACGGCCUUCGGGUUGUAAACCUCUUUUAGUAGGGAAGAAGCGAAAGUGACGGUACCUGCAGAAAAAGCACCGGCUAACUACGUGCCAGCAGCCGCGGUAAUACGUAGGGUGCAAGCGUUAUCCGGAAUUAUUGGCGUAAAGAGCUCGUAGGCGGUUUGUCGCGUCUGCUGUGAAACUGGGGCUCAACCCCCAGCCUGCAGUGGUACGGCAGACUAGAGUGCGGUAGGG
rnacentral:rRNA from 1 species